rnacentral:lncRNA from 1 species
CUUCAGAAAAAGGUAAUUCCUCGGAAUUUAAGUUUUGUGUAAAGAGAGGUGAAAGAAUCCGUAUGGGAGAAGCACUCGGAAAGUGGCAUGAGUAGAUGCUAGGGAUUGAUUAACUGCGAUUAACAUGUAACAAGUGAAGCUUCCUCCGGUCGUUUGCUGCAGAUUGGAUCAUGUUUGGCUUAAAACACCAAGAUGAUAUACAAUACGUUUCCCUGAGAAUUUACAGGCUUCAUGUAGCUUUUUGAGUACUUGCAUUUUGAUAAAUUGAGUAAAUAAAUUAUAUUUAGUCAAGUGAUUUAGAGUUCAAAUUAUAACAUUAUGAAAUCUAAUUCAAAAUUUGAAAUUUUGGUACCUUGAG